AGAAGAAACCUCAGCGAUGUAACUCGGGAACUCCUGAAUAAAAAUGGUGGGCGCGUUGGCUGUUCCUCGGAGCGCAGGAUGGUUCGGUGCUUAGACCUGGCAACGAUACUGAAAGUAUCACUUCAAAAAAGUUUCCAUGGCGACUUAUUGGUUUCACCUGCCUCUGGUGCUCGGGACACGCACCAGCUCUAAUCAAGGGACCAUUAUUUAAGCCUGUCUGUGCCAGUCAGUCGGCCUGACGUCAUUAUUGGUUUCAUGCGAUACCAUAGUUAAUGUUGCUCGUUUUCAUGACCGAUUCCAUAGUUAACGCUAUUUGUUUCAUGCCACAGUUUUGUGGCAUGAAACCAUGUCCUUUCAUGUCCUAAGUAUUUUGCCUUAGCUUCCGUGUGCG